rnacentral:tRNA from 1 species
UUCCUCAUGGUCCAGUGGCUAAGACUCUGCACUCCUAAUGUUGAGGGCCCUGGGUUCAAUUCCUGGUCAGGGAA